CAGGGAGACAACAAAAUGUUUAAUAUUAUUAUUUUGUCACCUUAGGUCGAUCGGUAUCUCACAUCCUUAAUUUAUUACGGAUUUCAUUUCCUAAGUUUUUCUAGGUCACACCCAUUAUUUUUCCUGGGCCAUUAGCUCAGGUGGUUAGAGCGCACCCCUGAUAAGGGUGAGGUCCCUGGUUCAAGUCCAGGAUGGCCCAUAUCUCUAUGUUGGGGGUAUAGCUCAGUUGGUAGAGCGCCUGCUUUGCAAGCAGGAUGUCAGCGGUUCGAGUCCGCUUACCUCCACUGAUUACCACCUCUUCCAUAAUGUUUAUUAAGGAAAAUUAUUGAGUCGUGAUCAAAUCUGAACGAAUCUAGCUUCCUAAUGAAAUCAUUAAGAUGCUGGACUCAUUGAAUUAAUUUCAUUGUUUUCAGAGAACCUUGACAACUGCAUAGAUUACUUUUUUAAAGACAAUAAGCAUCUUUAAUGAUGCAGAUUUAUUAUUUGUGCGAAUGCAUUAAAUAACAAUUCUAUUAAGCUGAUGCUUCAAUUUUUGAAGUUAUU
rnacentral:tRNA from 1 species